GUUCAAAUAGCUCAGUUGCUAGGGCAUGAGACUUAAUCUCAGGGCUGUGGGUUUGAGUCCCAGGUUGGGCA